UCCCCCGUCCCCGCCAACCUCCUUCCUAAUCGUCCUCUUACCCUGUCCCCCCAUCCUACUCCUCCAUUCUUCUCAACCCCUUCCUCGUCUCCCCCAUCCUCUUUCCCACUGUCCCAAUUCCCUCCCUCUCCCUUCUCCUCAACCUCUUCCCUGUCUCCCUCCGCCUCCUUCCCUGGCCACCCCAUCCUCUUACCCCAUCACUCCCAUCCUCCUUCUCCAUUCUCCUUUUCAGUCCCCCACUUCCUCUUUCUCCAUUCCCUUCUACCCUUCUUCCCCGUAUCCUUCAUCCUCCUUCUCCUAGCCCUCCCCAUCCUACUUUUCUCGUCACCCUCCCGCCCCUUUUACCGUCCCCCUCCGCGGUUAACGGCCGCCCCAGGCUCGCUUCUGCUCCACGUACUCACCGGAGGUGAGCGGCGGAUCCCGCUGAUCGGGACCCGAGACCAAGAGCUGAUCGGGGCGCUGAGAGGUGGGGGGUCGGAGGGUUCCACUAGAGACCUCUCAGCUUAACUCCCCACUCUCACUGUUCAUCUGCUCACUUGUUUCUCCGUGCCGGGGACAGGGAUCUGCUCCGCAGCCAUGCCACUGAACUCAGAUGGGGGAGCUGACCUUAUGAAAUAGCUACAUCAGGAGUGUACAGCACAUUAUUCUCACAGCAGUGCUGCAUACAGACAGCAAGCAUAACUUGCACUGCAGCCUGAAGCAACCUGAAAUAGACUGAGAGUAAUGUGUGGCUAUCUUCCUAAGGAGAAGAGCUAAGAUGUCUGUUUGGAGAUAUUCCUGGAAUUAGACCAGCGUGAGGUCUCCUCUACCAAUAUGAGAUACCAAUUAAAUACUUAGAGGUGUGAAGGAGGUCCUUAUCAGUGCUGCAGUAGACUCUGCUGAGAACAAGCAUACUGCACCUGGACACCGAUCUAAAAAAAAACAUGAGCAAUGCCUGCCAAGAGGAACACCUCCACCAGUACACCUCCACCAGAAGAAUUCGAGGAACAACUGCAGAACAACUCCAGAAGUCUUCUUCUGGAGGAAAUCCUGAUAAGCUCCACUGAAGAACAUCCCUGGGGCACGCACAAUUCUCUCUCUCCCCCCUCAUCUUUGGCUGAUGGCACUUCACACCGUCUGCAGCAGUGCAGCCUUUCCAUACUCUUGUGCUACAGGAAACCAGGGAAACAUGCUUUGAAGUGGGAAAAUCUGUGAAGAAGAAACACAUACUGCCAUCCAAAAACAGCCAGCCAAUACCAAGACACCUACAUCACCUACAUGUUGUCUACUCUUCAUUGGAGUUGUGUAAGCUACUGAAAAUAUGAUGUACCAUAGCUGCAUUCCAUAAGAGCACUUAAGAGUGAUUACUGAAUACCAAGAAACACACCUACAGUUCUGAAUGUUUUGGAAAUAAAAAUAGUUAACCACAAAAAGGAAAUGUGAUGUCUAUCUGCAUCAAAUAAUAGUCUGAAGGCAAUAAUUGAUAAACUUUAUAGUGUGUGAGGUGUGUAUUUUACACUGAUGUUGGGGAAGUGAUAGUUGUGCUUUUGGACAGCAAGUAGCAUUAAAAAAAAAAAAAAAGUAAAAUCACAGUAUCACAGUAUUAUCAGGACUGGAAGAGACCUCACAGAUCGUCAAGUCCAACCCUUUACCACAGAGCUCAAGGCUAGACCAUGGCACCAAGUGCCACGUCCAGUCUUGCCUUGAACAGCCCCAGGGACGGCGACUCCACCACCUCCCCAGGUAGCCCAUUCCAGUGUCCAAUGACUCUCUCAGUGAAGAACUUUCUCCUCACCUCGAGCCUAAAUCUCCCCUGGUACAGCCUGAGGCUGUGUCCUCUCGUCCUGGAGCUGGCCACCUGAGAGAAGAGAGCAACCUCCUCCUGGCCACAACCACCCUUCAGGUAGUUGUAGACAGCAAUAAGGUCAUCCCUGAGCCUCCUCUUCUCCAGGCUAAACAAUCCCAGCUCCCUCAGCCUCUCCUUGUAGGGCCUGUGCUCAAGGCCUCUCACCAGCCUCGUUGCCCUUCUCUGGACACGCUCAAGCAUCUCAAUGUCCCUCCUAAACUGGGGGGCCCAGAACUGAACACAGUACUCAAGGGACAUCACUAAGAUGUAAAAUAAUUAAAAAUCUGAGCCUCAGUUUAUUUCAAAAUUUCAUUUGAGAAUUCAUCAAUCAUCCCCAGCUUCUGAACAAAUUCAGAGAAGCACCUUCAGCGCAUUUACUGUUUCUAGUGCAUGCCUAAUUGCAAAAUGUCCUCAUGCUGAAGUACAGUUCUUGAGUUCUGAAGUCAGAGCUGUGCAGGGGGAAAAUGGAGAGAGUGCCCAGAGAUUGAUAAUUUACAUUCAUCUUCAGGGACAUGUGUUGACUUGUGCAUUAACCCAUGGUCUGAGCACUUGGGUGGGUUCUUCAAGUAGAAGCAAGUCUACAGAGAUGAUACAGAGUUAAACUACAUGGAAAAUGGAAAAAUCUCAAAACAUCCUUGAGACGCAUGAACAGCCACUGCACUAAAAUAUUUAUUUAUCUGCUUGCUUCCUGACUUUGUUUUAGCUAGAACUUAAUGAUAACUUAUACUGGGACCAAUUGAUUGUUUACCUGUUGCAUUAUAUGGUGAAAAUUCAGCUCUGCUGCUUAAUUUCUGGUCACUUGUUGGCUUCCAGCACCAUGGGCCCUAAUAGUCAUUAUUUUAUUGUAAACAUAUACAGACUUCAGAAACAGUCUGGUUUACAGAUAAUCAUCAUUUUGAAAUGGAAAUCAACAGUGAAAAGUGAUGAUCAGUACCUAAAGCAUGACUGUCCUCUGUUACAAUAUGUAUGAAUUUUACCUUAAAAUUAAAUGCCAGCUUGUUCCUACUAAAA